rnacentral:rRNA from 1 species
ACGGCUCAGUAACACGUAGCUAACUUACUCUUAGGUCAGGGAUAUCCUCGGGAAACUGAGGCUAAUACCUGAUAGAAAAUGUUUUCUGGAAUGAGAUAUUUUUCAAACUCGAGCCUAAGAAUAGGGCUGCGGCUGAUUAGCUAGUUGUUGGUGUAAUGGACUAACAAGGCAAUGAUCAGUAAGGGUUCUUAGCGGAAGGGCCCUGAGAAGGAAUCUGAGACACUAUUCCUAGCCUUACGGGGUGCAGCAGUCGAGGAACUUUUACAAUGCUCGCAAGAGUGAUAAAAUGAGCCAGAGUGUUUUCUUUUAGAAAACUUUUGUCAGUUGCAAAAAGACUGGCGAAUAAGGACUGGGCAAGACCGGUGCCAGCCGCCGCGGUAAUCCCGGCGGUCCAAGUCGCAUCCACAAUUAUUGGGUCUAAAACAUUCGUAGCUUGUUUUAUAAGUCUCUUGUGAAAUUCUAUAUCUUAAGUAUGGAACGUGCAAGAGAUACUGUAAAACUUGGGACCGGAAGACGCAAAGAGUAUGAUGGAGGUAGUGGUAAAAUAUGUUAAUCUCUAUCAGACUAACAACAGCGAAGGCACUUUGCGAGUACGGAUCUGACAGUGAGGAAUGAAGGCUAGGGGCGCGAAAGGGAUUAGAUACCCCUGUAGUCCUAGCAGUAAACCCUGCUCACUAAACAUUAGUACCUCCUCGAGAGGUAUUAGUGCUGUAGAGAAGUCGGAGAGUGAGCUACCUGGGAAGUAUAGUCGCAAGGCCGAAACUUAAAGGAAUUGGCGGGGGAGCAC